rnacentral:lncRNA from 1 species
AGUUCCAGAAAGCAAUGAGUUACACUGAGUGUGACACUGAGCAGGUUGGGCUCGAUGUCUGUGUGCGCUGGAGUUGCAUCUGCUUUGAGAUGGGGAACUGGAAGGAGAGGAAUACUAGAGAACCUGAGCAGAGCCAGGCCUCCUCUGACAACCACCUUAGACGAGAAGUUAUUUCCCUUGUGACUGUAAGUGCAAUGGAAAAUCAGAAACUGAGGUUUCAGAAGAUAAAAAGUCUGGAUUGCGUGGAGCGUUUGAAUUCUCCAACAUCUCAGUGGUCCAAUUAAACCAUUUUCUUUAUGAAGACUCAGCCUCAUGAAAAACUGAAUAUACUAAUAAAAAUGUGAGUCAUCGUGCCUUUCUUACUGAG